CGGCUGAAUUUAUGGCACUUUCUAGUUUUUCCCUCCAUUGAGCUGCGAUGGAACUAAAGUUAAUAUUACCAAACCCACUCUGUGAGGGGACGGGUUCCCAGCGCUGAGUCCAUGCUCACAGCCACUGAGAGAAUCUGCUGCACUGGGCCUCAGUGUCCCCUGCCACCCUCGGGGACAGGGAGGGCAGCUCCAUCCAGCCGCUCGUGAGGGGAGAUUCCAUGAUGAAGGUCUCUGGUGUCUCUGGCUCUACCACAGCAGAGGUGAAUCACCACUAGUGAGGCUACCCACAGCUUACUAGAAAGCACUGAAGGAGUGACCACGGUGUCACAGGUCAGACAAUACAUGCCCAGCCAAACCCAGGACCUGAAUAAUCCUGGGGACUGCUUCUCUUGCUGCAGGGACUGUGCCCCCCACAGCACCACAAAGCUUCCACCUGCAAGCACCAAUGUGGGAAGAGGAAUUCUGCACCCCAAGCCAAACCUUGGCACGUCAGUAAAGCACAAACAAAUGUGACACCUGUGGAACGUUCCCAGAAAAUUCCCCUGAAUCAUCUGUGAUGCAAGGGAACAGCAGCCAGCGUUGGCAACAAGCAGCUGGGUCUUUCAGGAAAGCGUCAGAUCAAUCUGGUGAGGGGAAGGAUCCCCAGUAACUGUCACUAAUCAUCCCCAAGGAUCACAGAGCUCCCAAAUCAGUUAGAAAAAG